UCUCAUCCAUGUUGUCCGUGCAGCUGCCUCCUAUUAGUGAGCUUCACUCCACUGUCCUACCCUGCCACAUCCUAGCUCAGAAGAGUUCAGGAGAGGAGCCACUACCUGGAGAAGCCUUUUGCAGGUGCAACAGUAGAAGGUCUUUUUGUUCCUUGCUUGACUGAUUACUGCUUUCCUCUUAAUUUCUUAUUCCAGAAAUUUCCACGAGUCCACCAACAAGGCCCACAGCUACAGGAAGACCCACAACUAUUUCAACAAGAUCCACACAUGUACCAACAUCAACCAGAGUCUCUGCCUCUACUUCUCCAACAUCUGCACACACACAGACUCACAAACCAGACUGGAAUAACACUGUGACAUCCUCAGACAACUCUUGGAAUAAUAACACUGAAGCAAUCCCUCCACGGAAGCCACAGAAAAACCUGGCUAAGGGCUUGUAUGUUGGCAUCUGCAUUGCAGCCCUGCUGCUGCUGCUGCUUGUGGGCACUGUGGUUAUCACCAGGUACGUGGUUAUGAAAAGGAAGUCAGAAUCUCUGAGCUUCCCUGUGUCUAAGAUCAGACCUUUGCAGAACACAGUGGUCAUGCAGUCCAAAGGUGAAGACAAGAUCUACAUUGUUGAAGACACUGCUAACCCUGAAGAACAGUCCCAGUGGCCCUCGGAGGUCCCUUCUGCCUGAGAUUACAGAGAUUGUCACUGAUAUCACAAACAGGCAUUACAGCUCCAGGCUAUUUUCUAUGUUGGUUCUUCCAGCUGUAGUGGAGAGAGUAACCCUUGACUGAGUCACUCAAAGCUUAAGGUUAACAUCAUCUUAUUCUUGUAUCAGCACUGCCUCAGUGUCUCCACUCACUGCAGCGAUGCUCUCAAAUGUGAAUGUUUUAAAAGGUUGGUUUUUUUUUUUUUUUUUUUUUUGAUUCAACACAGUUACCAGUAGUACAGAAAUAGUCUUGGUUAUUUAAACCAUCAAGAGAGGAAAUAUUUAAAAUUUAAAAAUAGUGUGUGGGGGUGGACAGGAAGCCCUGAUUUCAGAAGAAUUUUGUAAUCAUGUUUUAUCUAUUUUUAUUGUACUUUGAAAUGUCACUUUCUCCAUCUUCCCCAAAGGUCUUCAAUCAUGGGAGCAUGGAGGUUUUAAGGGAAUCUAAUGUCUCUUUUAGAGGCAGCAAAUUUCUCAUACCUCUGGAAAUAAGAUCAUUUAUUAUGUAGUUGAUCUUAGCAUAAAGGUGGGUGUUUCAUAUUAAGAGAGAUUACCAUGGUGAAUAUGAACCAGGCACACACCAGGGGAAGAAAUAAUGAAGGGACUCAGCUCAUUGAUGCUAUUUCUACUCCACUUCUGUUUUGAUGCUCACUGCUGCUAAACUCACCCACUAGGAGGUGCUAGGAGGAGACAGUGAAGAACUGAAAGGGGAAAGAAAGGAGAGAGCACAGGACACUGGCUCUCUGCUGAAAGAAGUCCUAUUGCAGGUGUGACAGUGUUUGGGACUAUCACGGUUUCCUUCAGACUUCUAAUUUUCUAAAUUGUCUUCAGGCCAUGUUUAUAUUUAAAAUUAGUUCAGAAAGACAAUGUAUUUUUUUUUUUGUAAUGAAUCAGUUUGUCACAAUAAAAUAAAAUAUUUAGUUUUCC
ensembl:lincRNA